GACAGAGGGUGCAAACGUUGUUCGGAAUUACUGGGCGUAAAGCGCGUGUAGGCGGCCCUGCAAGUCGGGUGUGAAAUCCCACGGCUCAACCGUGGAAGUGCACUCGAAACUGCAGGGCUAGAGUCCUGGAGAGGAAGGUGGAAUGCUUGGUGUAGAGGUGAAAUUCGUAGAUAUCAAGCGGAACACCGGUGGCGAAGGCGGCAUCCUGGACCGGCAUUGACGCUGAGGAGCGAAAGCCAGGGGAGCAAACGGG
rnacentral:rRNA from 1 species